GUUUUUAUUUUCAUUUUAUAGAAAAAAGUCAGACAAAAUUAUAAAAGUUGGGUUAAUAUAGCCGAGUUAUAAACCAUGUUAAAAAUGUCCAAAAACAUUUCAACAAAGAAUACAACUCGAAAAACAAUUACAGUGCACAUUGGGUUGAAAUUAUUAUAAAAGUUAUCAAAAAUUCUAUAAAAGGAACCUCGUUAAAAGUUCAACCUUUACAAAACAAUGAUAAACUUGAAUAAUAAAGUUAAAUCAAUAAUGAUCCAACCGCAGGUUCACCUACGGUUA
rnacentral:misc_RNA from 1 species